rnacentral:rRNA from 1 species
UCUGACGGAGCACGCCGCGUGAGUGAUGAAGGUUUUCGGAUCGUAAAGCUCUGUUGUUAGGGAAGAACAAGUGCGAGAGUAACUGCUCGCACCUUGACGGUACCUAACCAGAAAGCCACGGCUAACUACGUGCCAGCAGCCGCGGUAAUACGUAGGUGGCAAGCGUUGUCCGGAAUUAUUGGGCGUAAAGGGCUCGCAGGCGGUUUCUUAAGUCUGAUGUGAAAGCCCCCGGCUCAACCGGGGAGGGUCAUUGGAAACUGGGAAACUUGAGUGCAGAAGAGGAGAGUGGAAUUCCACGUGUAGCGGUGAAAUGCGUAGAGAUGUGGAGGAACACCAGUGGCGAAGGCGACUCUCUGGUCUGUAACUGACGCUGAGGAGCGAAAGCGUGGGGAGCGAACAGGAUUAGAUACCCUGGUAGUCCACGCCGUAAACGAUGAGUGCUAAGUGUUAGGGGGUUUCCGCCCCUUAGUGCUGCAGCUAACGCAUUAAGCACUCCGCCUGGGGAGUACGGUCGCAAGACUGAAACUCAAAGGAAUUGACGGGGGCCCGCACAAGCGGUGGAGCAUGUGGUUUAAUUCGAAGCAACGCGAAGAACCUUACCAGGUCUUGACAUCCUCUGACAACCCUAGAGAUAGGGCUUUCCCUUCGGGGACAGAGUGACAGGUGGUGCAUGGUUGUCGUCAGCUCGUGUCGUGAGAUGUUGGGUUAAGUCCCGCAACGAGCGCAACCCUUGAUCUUAGUUGCCAGCAUUCAGUUGGGCACUCUAAGGUGACUGCCGGUGACAAACCGGAGGAAGGUGGGGAUGACGUCAAAUCAUCAUGCCCCUUAUGACCUGGGCUACACACGUGCUACAAUGGACAGAACAAAGGGCUGCAAGACCGCAAGGGUUUAGCCAAUCCCAUAAAUCUGUUCUCAGUUCGGAUCGCAGUCUGCAACU